AUGUGCUCCUCCUCGCCGACGACCGGCGGCGACCGGCUGCUUCUUAACCUCGUCCUCUUGUUGAUCAUUCGUCUUCUUGAGGACCUUGCGCUCGAGCUGCUGCCUGAAGGUGCGCGGCUCGAAGCGCGGCGUCUCGGCGCCAUCCCCUUGGACGAGCUCCGGCAUCGGGCGCAGCAGCACGGAGUCGGGCGGCGGCUGGGCGAAGACGACCCAGGAGACUCGCACAGCCUGCCGGUUGACGAGCACGCGGUGGAGCACGCUGGUGUAGCGCCCGUUGCUGAGGAUCUCCAGCGCGUCGCCGACGUGGACCACGAGCGUGCCCGGCUCGUCACGCGCGGUGACCCAGGUCUGGCCGUCGCCGGGACGGAGGACCUGCAGGCCCGGCACGCCGUUGGUGAGGAUGAAGGAGAGCGCGGAGACGUCGGUGUGCGCCUCCACGCCCACGGCCAGCUCCGGCUGCGGGCACCGCGGGUAGUAGUUGAUCUUGAGCUUCAGCAGCAGGUCGUCCUCCACCUGGGCCUCGCCGGAGGUGAGGCGGAGGCGGCGCUCGAGGGUGCCGGCCUGGACGCCGAGCCCGAGGGAGAGGAUGGCGAGGAGCCGGGACGAGAGCGCGCUCACGUGCUCCCCGAAGCUCUUGGUGACGGGCACGUACUCGGGCGGGUGCGCCGGCCAGAGCGCGUGGUCGGCGCGGGCGUCGGGGUGGAGCAUGUGCAACAGGUAGUCCUCCCACUCCCUCUUCCCGUCCUCGCCGGCGGAUCCGGCGAGCCGGCUGCCGUACCCCUCCAACCUCCCCGCCGCCGGGUCGUUGGCGUAGGCCUCCUUGUCCUCGAUCGGCAUGCGGAAGAACCCCGUGCCGGCGCCGCGCAGUGCAUCGAUGAGGUCCUCCGGGAUGCCGUGGCCGGCCAGGUGCAUGACGCCCCAGUCCUCCGCGGCGGCGCGCACGGCGUCAACGACGGCAAGGCUGGCUGGGGAGGCCGGGUCCGCGGCGUCGAAGGCGGCCACGUCGACGAUGGGGAUUCGAGGGGAGCCCGCCGCGGACCAGCAGGCCGCCGCCUCGGCGUAGGCGUCGCCCAGGCCCUGGCGCUCCUCCUGCGGCCGCACGUACUCCGCCGGGAUCGCCGUCGCGCCGCUCAUGCUCAGCGCCUCCACCCGCGCCAUCGCAGUUUGAUUCUUCUUCUUCUUCUUCCUCCUCCGGAGGUAUGCUAUCACUUGGUGAUCGGAUUAGUUGCGACGAGAAUCGAUGGAGUUCAUGGAUGGUUUACUUAUAGUAGAUGA
rnacentral:rRNA from 1 species